rnacentral:rRNA from 1 species
AAUCAACGCUGGCGGCGUGCCUCAGACAUGCAAGUCGAACGCGAAAGGCCCCUUCGGGGGCCCGGUAGAGUGGCGCACGGGUGAGUAACACGUAGGUAAUUUGCCUUCGGGUGGGGAAGUAACAGCCGGAAACGGCUGCUAAUACCGCAUAAUGCAGCGGCUCGACAUCGAGACAGUUGUUAAAGCGGGGGAUCGCAAGACCUCGCGCCUGAAGAGAAGCCUGCGGCAGAUAGCUUGUUGGUGAGGUAAUGGCUCACCAAGGCGACGAUCUGGUAACCGGCCUGAGAGGGCGGUCGGUCACACUGGACACUGACA